UACGUAGGGUGCAAGCGUUGUCCGGAAUUAUUGGGCGUAAAGAGCUCGUAGGCGGUCUGUCACGUCGGAUGUGAAAACACGGGGGCUCAACCCCGUGCCUGCAUUCGAUACGGGCAGACUAGAGUUCGGUAGGGGAGACUGGAAUUCCUGGUGUAGCGGUGAAAUGCGCAGAUAUCGGGAGGAACACCAGUGGCGAAGGCGACUUCCUGGCCUGUUCUUGACGCUGAGGCGCGAAAGCUAGGGGAGCAAACGGGG
rnacentral:rRNA from 1 species